rnacentral:lncRNA from 1 species
AGGGCUAACCUUGAACUUAACAUCACUACUAGGGUGGACCAAUUCAAUCAAAAUCCAACAAAGAAAUGCUACUCGUCUAAAUUAAAUCCAUAGUAUGACAAUCCAAAUACACAAGUACUCUAGAAAGAAUUUAAUAAAGCUAGGACCAAAAUGACAAAUUAAAAUCCAAAUACAACCCGAAAAUGUAUUGUCCAUUGCAUGACUAAAUACAGUAAAAUUCAAAUAGUAAAGCUAAUUCAAUAAGGAAAACAUGAGUAGUCUUUUAAGAAUAUGGACUAAUAUUCAGCAAGUUCACAUUUAUUCACAAGUGUCCAAAUUGAUUACAUAACUUCAAAAUGCACUUCACAUGUUAAUGAGGUCCAAGAAGUACCUGAGACAAAAUUUAGAGCUAAAGAAAGAUGAGGAGAUUAACAACAGUAGGAGAAUGUAAAUCAACAAUUCAACACAACAAUUCCAGCUUCUUUAGAUCAUUUUUGGACCAGAAAUCCUUUUAAAGUUUCACCUAUUGCUAAUAAUGAAAUCAAGGGCCAAUUCCCAACAAUUUUCGACCCAAAAAGAUGCAGAAUAUUUUUGUUUUUUCAAGGUGUGAAUGGCUGCCCAAAAAUGAAGGGAAAAAGGUCUUUAUAUAGGCAUGCCUAAGGCAGCCCUAGCCUAGCUAACCCAUUCCCUUUCUACCCCUUCUUUUCUUGGGCAUUUUACCCUUUUUACCCUUUUAAAAUAUCUGACCCUCCCUUAUCUCUUAACAAGCCAGGUCUAAACUUAUCCUCUAGAAGCUCCCCCCCCCCCAACAUAAAAAGAUUCCCCCAACCCUCAAAUACCUAAAGCACCCUUGAUACCUUGAAUACUAAAAUGAACGGCCUUUUUGAAACAAGUCAGAGAUGACCAAAAAACCCAAGGUUGAACUUAAACCAACCAAACUGAGCAUUGAGGCUCAAGUCCUGGCCCAGACUGAACUAAAGUUGAAUUGAAAGAAAAGGACAAAGAAGAAAAGAGUCGGAAUAAAGAAAAAAGAAAUCUGAUUCAAACAAGCACUUUAAUAAGAUAAGUACUAGUUCAAAAUUACUGACUAUCCCGAAAUAAAUUCGGCCAAACCGAAUCCUAAUCAUGUGAUUAAACAGUUAGAAUUACUGAUUUUAAACGAACUAAAACUAAUUCAAACAAACAAUAAACAAGAAUCAGAAAAACAAACACGAAGAAAGAAAAGGAAAAGGAAUGGUACUGGUUUUAGCCGGAAUAAAUCGACGAAUGAAGAGACUCGACGGAGGUGACGAACUUGGCCGGGUGUCAGUGGUCUGGUCAGAAGCCGGUGACCCUCAAAAUGAGCCAAGACUUUCGUUAAUCAAUUAUUCUUAACGAGAACAAUCGCUUGACACAAGUCUCGAGUCAGAUCGAGCCUUGGAAGCAUAAUAAAAUCGGAAUUAAGGGCGGCUUAAGUUUUUUUUUUUAAUUUCAUAUUUGAGAUUAAAGAGAAAAGGUGGGGAUUUUGGGGGAAUUGGUGUUGGAUUAAUAUUCAAAGGGGUUUGGGGAUUGUGGAGGAGGAAUUUGGAAGUGAUUGGGUGGUCAGUCGCCGGUGGGGACGAUGGAGGAGUUUAGGGCGGCGGAUUCUAGGGUUCUAAGACGAAGAAGGGACUGAGGGGGUUUGAAGGGUUUGGGGGUAGGUUCAGAUAUAUAUAUGGGGAUGGGUAGGUUAGUUCCCACACGUUAGAUUUAAG